AGUAUACUUUCAUUUGCCGAUAGUGGUGGUUAUGUUUCUGUUUAUAUAAUCCAAGCUCGUGCAUCAAUAAAUUUGAUUCAACCUCAAGUUAGCCAGUUAAACUAAAAAUACAGAAAUACGAGUGUCACUGCAUCUUCUCAAGAAAUGGGUUUACUAUCACUAUUGCGCAAAUUGCGCCCCAGCCCCGACAAAGAAGCCAGAAUACUGUUACUUGGCCUAGAUAAUGCUGGCAAGACGACAAUUUUAAAGCAAUUGGCAUCUGAAGAUAUUGCAACGGUCACACCAACCGCCGGUUUUAACAUCAAAUCUGUAGCGGCCGAUGGUUUCAAGCUCAAUGUCUGGGACAUUGGUGGUCAGUGGAAAAUACGGCCUUACUGGAAAAACUACUUUGCGAACACGGACGUAUUGAUUUAUGUAAUUGAUUGUACAGAUCGCGAACGCUUAUCCGAAACUAACCGUGAGCUUUUCGAAUUGCUUAUGGACAAUCGCUUGAAGCAGGUGCCAUUGUUGGUGUUCGCCAACAAACAGGAUUUACCGAAUGCACUUACCGCCUCUGAGGUAGCCGAAGCGGCGCAAUUGGUGCGUUUAGAGGAGCGCACCUGGCAGAUAGUAGGCUGCUCAGCCGUUGAUGGCACGGGCAUCAAAGAGGGCAUGGAUUGGGUGUGCAAGAAUAUGAAGAAAUGAAAAGGUUUAUGCAGUUUCUCAGUUGUAAGUGCUAUCAAAUCGCUUUUAAGCUACAACAACAACAACAGCAAGUUAACGCAACCAAUGGCAAUCGCAUUACGCUUGCUGUAGUUCCUCUACGCAUGCACUGAAUUUUUAUACUCUUGCAACAUGCUGCACAAAGCUUAAUAGUUUUGUUGACCUAACGGUUGUGUGUAACACCUGAAAAUAUUUGAGUUAAAUAUAGUGUUAUAUAAGUAUAUUAAACUGAUCCGAUUACAUAGAAUAAUGAUAA